rnacentral:snoRNA from 1 species
AAGCUCAUGGUGUGGACAUCUUUUAAGCAGAUCCUUAAAUCUCUCCCAAGCUUCAUACAAGGAUUCACCAUCCAAUUUUAUAAAUGUAGUUAUAUCAUUCCUUAUCUU